AAAUAGAGUGAGUGUUAGCGAAGAGUGAAGAGUGAAGCGUGAAGGGAAGAUGAAAAGGUUUUUCCAAGUAGUGGAGAAAGAUUCAGAUGGUUGUUUGAAGAAGCCAAGAGAGAGUGAGAGUGAGGAAGAAGAGAAGAAGGAGCCGUUGAAGUUUUUGACAUGGAAUGCUAACAGCUUAUUCAUUCGGGUCAAGAACAAUUGGCCCGAAUUCACCAACUUCGUUACCAGUUUUGAUCCUGAUGUCAUUGCCAUACAGGAAGUGCGGAUGCCUGCUGCUGGAUCCAAGGGUGCAUCUAAGAAUCAGGGAGAAAUAAAAGAUGAUACAAGCUCCUCCAGGGAAGAAAAGAAGAUAUUGAUGCGUGCACUUUCAACUCCACCUUUUGGGAACUAUCGUGUUUGGUGGUCUCUCGCAGAUUCAAAGUAUGCAGGGACAGCACUACUAGUGAAAAAAUGCUUUAAGCCAAAAAGUGUCGUUUUCAAUCUAGAUAAAAUUGCUUCGAAGCAUGAACCAGAUGGCCGAGUAAUCUUAGCUGAAUUUGAAACACUUCGUAUAUUGAAUACAUAUGUACCAAACAAUGGAUGGAAAGAGGAGGCAAACUCAUUUCAGAGGAGAAGAAAAUGGGAUAAAAGGAUUCUGGAAUUUGUUACACAAAAUUCAGACAAACCUUUGAUAUGGUGUGGGGAUCUGAAUGUCAGCCAUGAAGAGAUCGACGUGAGUCAUCCAGAGUUUUUCAGUGCAGCAAAACAAAAUGGCUAUGUUCCUCCCAAUAAAGAGGAUUGUGGGCAGCCUGGAUUUACCUUGGCUGAAAGAAAACGAUUUGGUACCAUCUUAAGAGAGGGAAAGCUGAUAGAUGCCUACAGAUUUCUGCACAAGGAUAAGGACAUGGAGCAAGGUUUCUCAUGGUCUGGAAAUCCAGUUGGAAAUAUUUUCUUUGAAGGUAUCGCGGAAAACGGAUGAGAAUAGACUAUUUUACAGUUUCAGAAAAACUUAAAGAAAGGAUUGUUGCAUGUGAAAUGCAUGGACAAGGGAUAGAGUUACAGGGUUUCUAUGGAAGUGAUCAUUGUCCAGUUACCUUGGAGCUCUCUCCAUCUUCCAACUCUCAAAACGAGGAUCCAAUCUAAGAAGCACUUUGCUGUUCCGAUCAUUUUUUUUCUUAUUUAGAUGAUCAAUGUUCCUUAGUGAGAAGCUAUUUUUUUUACAAUGUUUCUGUGGUGUGGACUAGCUGCAUACGUACAGAAUAUGGUUAUAGUAUUGAUUAGGUGCUUCAUCUUUAGAUAAUUUCCCCAAGAACUGAGACACUACUUCCAACUCUACAGUACUUUCAUUGCAGCAAAUGGUAUUCACUUUAGCAUUAGAAGUAAAACAAAACAAGUACAUGGGGUCAUUGGAUUGAUUCGGCCAUCAUAUCAAAAUUAAUUUGGUGUGGGUGGUA